CCUCAGCGCAUGACCUUGACACAAGUGGGCCCAUAGAUGUGGUCCUAGUCUGUAGCCAGCAGAAGGCUUUCUCUUCCAACACAUCGAGAACUUAACCAGCAAGAUUGGAGCAGAAUAACUGUACCUCUGAGCAAGAUUUCCAAGAGCUGGAGUACAAAUAAACUCUCUCUCCUUCCCCCUUCUCUGCAUGCACAGUACUGCACACCGUGGACUGCAGCUUUGGGAAAGGACAAAAAAGAACAGUUCUUUCAGCAUAGCAACUUACGCAGGAGUUACUGUUUUUCUAAGAUCACAUUGAGUGCUGAGGAUACCUAUCCGAACAAGAGGUGAUCCAUCUUUGACCUUAGAA